CAGUCGCCGCGGUAAUACGUAGGGUGCAAGCGUUAAUUGGAAUUACUGGGCGUAAAGCGUGCGCAGGCGGUUAUAUAAGACAGAUGUGAAAUCCCCGGGCUCAACCUGGGAACUGCAUUUGUGACUGUAUAGCUAGAGUACGGCAGAGGGGGAUGGAAUUCCGCGUGUAGCAGUGAAAUGCGUAGAUAUGCGGAGGAACACCGAUGGCGAAGGCAAUCCCCUGGGCCUGUACUGACGCUCAUGCACGAAAGCGUGGGGAGCAAACAGGAUUAGAUACCCCUGUAGUCCCUGUCUCUUAUAC
rnacentral:rRNA from 1 species